CUGUGAACAACAGAUCUGGGUCACUCACUGAAGAGAGGUACGAGGCUGCGAACAACAGAUCUGGGUCACUCACUGAAGAGAGGUACGAGGCUGCGAACAACAGAUCUGGGUCACUCACUGAAGAGAGGUACGAGGCUACGAACAACAGAUCUGGGUCACUCACUGAAGAGAGGUACGAGGCUGUGAACAACAGAGAUCUGGGUCACUCACUGAAGAGAGGUACGAGGCUGUGAACAACAGAGAUCUGGGUCACUCACUGAAGAGAGGUACGAGGCUGUGAACAACAGAUCUGGGUCACUCACUGAAGAGAG